CAGGGCUGAAGAGGACAGGGGCGGGGGACGUUCAGAGGCCACUGCCAUAAUGAUUGGCUGCAGACAGCCACACGUGAGGAUCACUAAACCGGAAGUCCCAGUGGGGACAAAGGAUUGGGGAAGCCAGAGUGGUGAAAGCAGUGGAUGCAAGAAAUCAAGACUGGAGGUGGGCUGCGGCUACCGGGUGAAGCCACAGGACAGAGUGACCGAGGGAGGAGGAUCAUGGGAGGAAAGAGCCUCCAGGAACUGAAACGCAGCGCCCGGGUGGCAGGAGGCGUCACCCACAAAGCUUCCGGUAGAUCUGCUCAGCCCAGCUUCAGCAUAGAGGUUGUCAGUAUUGAGCCUGGAAGCAGAGGGGUGGCAGGAACAAACGAAUAGGGGAGCAAACAAGCUAUUCGUGAACAUUGGUGUUUUAUCAGUGAGCCACUUUUAAAAUCAAGAGCCAGAGUAGGAAAAGCAUCACACCUGGGAGGUAGAGACUGCAGCAGGUCCCAUCUUACAGAGGAGGAAACCCACACGGAACGAACUUAGGCUCCAGGAGGGUGAGAACCUAUAUCCCUCUCACGGUGAUGACCUAUUUAGUGCCAGGCCCAAGAAAACACCCGCUGAAUCUGUGCCGGCUGAGUGCUGAAUGUGUAGCCAUGACUGCUAGUGACAAAGGCCACGUGAGCUGUGUGUCAGCCCGGGCAGGGCACUGCACUGUGGCCUUGGCAGGAACCGUUUCACUUAAUCUUCACACACGGCCCACAAUGCAGUGCUGCUGUACUCAGAUGUAACCGAGAUGCCCUCGAAACUGGACAGGUCAGUGCUGCCCUCAAGGUCACCCAGAGGGUGAGUCCAGCCAGUGGCCCAGGGAGCCUGCAGUCCCCGGCUGUGCAUCUCAGGUAAAGGACAUCCCCUGCCAUCCUGGCCAGCACUGUCCCACCCACGCUCCCCCUGGCUGCCACCCCUGGCUCUCAGGCAGGCUGCCUGGGCCCCCAGGGAAGUCCUGGACAGGACCCAGGUCUGCUCCUGGAAGGGAGCCCCAGCAAGGCAGGAGCAUCCGUCCCUGCUGGCUAAGCCUUGCCCGCUGGCAUUGCCACACGGCAGAGACUGACUCGAGGAGUGGCCACCAGGUGCAGAGGUCGCUGAGCCAGAGGUCUGAACCACCUCUGCAUCCUCCCAGCCCAGGCCUGCUGGGCCCUCGCUUCCGGCUGCUUCGGAACACCUGCCUUUCCCGAGACAGACCGGAGAUGCCGUCCCUUCCAGCUGAAGUCCAUGGCCCAAAACAAGUCCUAUGGCCAAGCUCAAAGUCAGUGGUCCUGGAGAGUAGCUUGUCUGCUGUUACAGGAGCAUCACACAGUCACAUUGCAAAAGAUUCGUUCACUGGUGACUCCAGGGCUGAAUCUACUGUGAGGACGUGGAGCCUGGUUGGAGGUAGUCACUGGUGGCGUGACCUGGAAAGGUGUAUGGUCCCAGCUCCUCCCUUCUUCCUCUGUUUCCUGGCUGCCUUGGGUUGAGCAGCUUUUCUCCACCAGGCCUUUCCACCAUGCUGUUUUUUACCUUGAAGCCAGAUUACCAUGGACUGAACCAUCUGAAACCGUGAGCCACAUACAGUCAUUCCUCCUUUAGGUUGUGCAUAUCAGUUAUUUUGUCCUAGAAAUGAAAAAGUGACUAAUUCAGUCACUAUAAAAAACAAUUGAAUCAAUAUCCCAGCAAAAUGGAGACUUUCCCAGUCUUUCAUUGGUGGGAAAGUAGAUAAGAGUAUGGGUUAGAGAUAGGCAUCACUAGGCUAUGAAUCUGAGUCUGUAACUUUGGGCAUAGUAUCCUCCUGAUCCUCAGUAUUUUCACUUGUUAAGUGGAGUUAUACUAUAUACUUUAUAAGGCUUCUGUAUGACUUAAUUUUUUAUAUAGGAUAUAAAGCACUUAGAAUGGUAGUUGGCAUUUAACUGCUCAAAUAAAGGACAUGUACUGCUAUUAUUUGGGAAGAGUCUGGACCUUGGUUACAAACAUAGAUCUCAUGUAUGUAAUAGCCAAAGGGCAUAUUCAACAAAUUUUUAUUCUGUAACUCAAAUAGUUAUUAAUUUCUAUUGUGUAGAAGAUAUUCCCCUAGGUGAUGUGGGAAAUAAAAAGACAAAUAAAAACAACUCUGCACCCAAGUGUCUUAUGAUUUAGUAGAAAUAAUAAAAAGAAACAACUAAUGAAUCCAUGGCAGAAGAAAACAAGUGUCAAAAAAAGAAAGAAUGUAGGCAAA
rnacentral:lncRNA from 1 species